UACGGAGGGUGCGAGCGUUAAUCGGAAUUACUGGGCGUAAAGCGCACGCAGGCGGAUUGUUAAGCUAGAGGUUGAAAGCCCCCGCGCUCAACGUGGGAAUUGCCUUUAGAACUGGCAGUCUAGAGUCUUGGAGAGGGGAGUGGAAUUCCAGGUGUAGCGGUGAAAUGCGUAGAGAUCUGGAGAACAUCAGUGGCGAAGGCGACUCCCUGGCCAAAGACUGACGCUCAUGUGCGAAAGUGUGGGUAGCGAACAGGAUUAGAUACCCCGUGUAGUCC
rnacentral:rRNA from 1 species